UAAAACUCCCUCUCAAAACAAACAAACAAACCAAAAAAACAAAUAGCAACAGCAACCACAAUCAUCAUCACCAUCAAGGCUGGAACAAGGAUGAGGCAGGCAGGCUCUGAUAGCAACAGGAGGAAGCAGACCAAGGAGGGAGAGAAAGGAAGGCAGAGAAGGGGAAAAAAAAACACAAAUGAUAAUAAUAGAUGCUGACAUUUACGGAGCACUUACUAUGUGCUGGGAACCAUGCUGACGGCACACCGAAUCCACUGAACAGAUCUCUUUGGGUUUUGGAAUAACAAAAAAGGGACUGUACAUGGAUAUUUCCAAGCUGGAACCGAGGCACUUUCUAGACGAAGGCAGCCUUAUCCCCAGGAGAUGAUUGAAAAUGUAAGAACUAUUCUGAGCCUGCAGGCCAUAGCCAAAGAGGACCUACUGUUAAGUUUUCAAGACCACCCAGAAAGAAAUUUGAAGUUGGGUUUAUAUCCUUAAUCCCUCAGUUAGAAAAAAAAGAAAAGUGAAGAAACUGCAUCUCCAAGAUCCUGCUAUAUCAACUUCAGUUUUUUGAAGUUAAAUUUGAUUUUUAAAUCCCUUGGCUGAUGAGACCUGUGUGGGUUUUUUUUUGUUGUUUUUUUGUUUUGUUUUGUUUUGUUUUAUCAUUGUACCUCUAUUUUAAAAAUAGAGACUUGUGGUUCUUUUUCCAAAAGCAGUCCAACAGAAAGUGAAUGGUGGUCAAUGCAUAAUAAAAUGAGAGUUACCUUUUGA
rnacentral:lncRNA from 1 species